AUACCUUUCUCGGCCUUUUGGCUAAGAUCAAGUGUAGUAUCUGUUCUUAUCAGUUUAAUAUCUGAUAUGUGGAUCAUUGAUUCACACGAUAUUAAAUUUAUUUUUUGAGGGAGAGUGUCAAUUACAAUAGCUUGCUAUUGGGACUCUUAGGCAUUGCUCUUGUCUUGCACUUCUGCAAGAGCCUGAUGCAUCCCAC
rnacentral:snRNA from 1 species